CUUUAAGUGGUAUUCUAAAAAACGAUUUGGUUUUAUACAUUAACCCCUGAAUUUCUUAGAAUUCAACCCCACGCUCCUUUCUUAUAACUUAUCCAGUGACAUAGAAGGGGGCACGCUGCAGGAGGCUUCUUCGCGCCGGCGGCUGCCCACGCCUCCACUCUCCCUCAGUCCCUCCCCUUCCCUCCGGCCGGCUCUCUCGGGCUCUCCCUCCCCUGCCCUUGGGCUCCGACUCUCCCUUCCGCCUCCGGCCCUCUCGGUCUCUCCUCCGCCCAGCGCCCUGCUGCUGCUGCUGCUGCAGGGGAGGGAGAGGCCGAGAGAGACGGCUGGAGGGGAGGGGAGAGACUGAGAGAGAGUGGGAGAGCCGGAGAGGGGCGGCCGGCCUGAGCCGGACCUGCAGAACAGCGGCGCGGCAUGAUCUAGAGUACACACCUACAGAAGGCGGCAACAUAGGUUAGCGGCAACAACUCCAAAUCUGGCAAGCUCCUCGGCAGAUUGGUGUCAAACGGCCACUGGACAUGAAAGCAUGCAGUACACACACCUACGAAAGGCCAGACCUGAUGGG
rnacentral:lncRNA from 1 species